GACGAACGCUGGCGGCGUGCUUAACACAUGCAAGUCGAACGGUAAGGCCCCAGCUUGCUGGGGUACACGAGUGGCGAACGGGUGAGUAACACGUGGGUGACCUGCCCCGCACUUCGGGAUAAGCCUGGGAAACUGGGUCUAAUACCGGAUAGGACCGCACCGUGAUGGUGUGGCGGUAAGUUGUGCGGUGUUGGCUGGGCCCGCGGCCUAUCAGCUUGUUGGUGGGGUAAUGGGCUACCAAGGCGGCGACGGGUAGCCGGCCUGAGAGGGGGGACGGCCACAUGGGGACUGAGACACGGACCAGACGCCUACGGGAGGCAGCAGUGGGGAAUAUUGCACAAUGGGCGGAAGCCUGAUGCAGCGACGCCGCGUGGGGGAUGACGGCCUUCGGGUUGUAAACUCCUUUCACCAUCGACGAAGGUUUUCUGACGGUAGAUGGAGAAGAAGCACCGGCUAACUACGUG
rnacentral:rRNA from 1 species